rnacentral:lncRNA from 1 species
AAAAGAUGAUAAAAAACUUUUGUAUAGAAUGGAAUGAUGUGGUGUAGGAAGAAAUGUAGUGAAGGUAUUUAUAGGAAGAGUUUUGAAAUUGGGAAGAGAAGUGGGUGAGAAAAAAAUUAAUAGGGAUAAAGGUGAAUUGAAGGGAGUAACGGUCGUGACAACGGUCACAAACAUUUUACGAGAAAGCAAGUUGUCACAUUCGUGACAGCAUGCGUGACGCUCGUCACACCUCUGAUCAUGCAACGGUCAAAACGUUCGUGACAGCAUGCGUGUUUAAUUAUAUAUUUUUUAUGGUUUUAUUUAUUAUAUUUGUUAUUUUUAUUAUGUUGUAUUUUUUUUGUGUCAUGGAUGCUACUUUACUACACCAUAGAAUAUAUAUUAUUUUUUUCUCUAAUAAGCCAUGUAAGUAGUAG